UACGUAGGGUGCAAGCGUUUGUCCGGAAUUAUUGGGCGUAAAGAGCUCGUAGGCGGUUUGUCGCGUCUGCUGUGAAAACUGGAGGCUCAACCUCCAGCCUGCAGUGGGUACGGGCAGACUAGAGUGCGGUAGGGGAGAUUGGAAUUCCUGGUGUAGCGGUGGAAUGCGCAGAUAUCAGGAGGAACACCGAUGGCGAAGGCAGAUCUCUGGGCCGUAACUGACGCUGAGGAGCGAAAGCAUGGGGAGCGAACAGG
rnacentral:rRNA from 1 species